UAGAACCAGAGGCCUCUCAUGGUCACUC
rnacentral:piRNA from 1 species